GCUCGCCUGCAGUCAGUCCACAAUCAAAACCAGAUCGGUACACAACCAAAAACAGAACCUAAGCCAUCUGCGGGAUCUGACAUUAAACCUACAGGUGAAGAUUUUCUUUGUCAGAAAUGAGGAUUUACACCCUCUCAACUAUUAAUCAAGAAUCAUAGGAAAUCCAACAUCAAUUACUUCCAACACCUGAACAGCACCACUGCCUACCAGCAGACUCACAGGGCUUCAUGGACUCCGCCUGGAAGCAGAGCUCUGGAUGGGACUGGAACCAGAACAUGGAACAGGACACAUCCCUAUCUUGAGACAUUUUUAAACCACAGCAGAGACCAGGAGGCACUGGAAAGUUUCCCCCUCUCCCUGAUAAUUUUGCAGAACUGGUGCCCUGUGGAAAAACCUCCACUGAAUGAGAAAGAGGACAUACAGCAGAGACAGAUUUUUUAACUUCAUCACACGUGUGAAGGAGCACGUGUCCCAGAGAAUUCCUUCAGAUGCCAGUCCUCCAAAUAAGCAUGAAAGCAGCAGGCGUUGAGCCUGAAGGCACUGAGAGAAUCAGUAGCGUGCCCUCCAAAUACUAAUUCAGGAGCAGGCACUCCACCAGAUGUAUUCCUUUAGGCCUAAAGUCACCUUUCAGCUGCUGCUUUACUGAAGGAGCAGUUACAUCUUGGUGCUGCAGCAACCCCCAAGUAACUCUCAGAAAUAGCCGUAAUGAGAAAUAAGAGAACAAAAUUGGUCAGAAAAUCAGCUGUAACAGCUAGUAUUAAGGCAGAUACAGAGGAUAUGCAAUGCAAGAGAAAGAGUCUUUUGAGUUUAUAUCUGAUUUCAGUAUCAAAUAUGAAGUCAGUAAUCUCCAUCAUCAUUUUCAAAUGUCUUUUUCUGUGUCUUUUCCACAAAGUGAAACAAAUCCCUGCAGACUUAGCACAAACAACUUUCAGAAGAGACUUGUUCCACAUAAAGCCCUCUGAUGGGACUAUAAACACAGCCAGUUCCUGUGGAGAGACUGAAAGGAGAACUGACUAUGCAAAACUCAGCUGUUGACCCAUUAUGCAAAAAUAUUUUAAUGGCCGUGGAGCCUUUCUUCUUAAGAGUUUCAUUUCUAUUUAAUGUGAAAUUAGCAAUGGGUUGCUUGUGACAGGAACACAUUGACAUUGGUUAGAAACUAAGCCAAUCAAAUCAAUAACUGGUAGUGUUAAAAUCUGCCACCCAUAAAACAAGGAACGAGUUGUACUGUGCAUGAAAGGAGCGGUAGAAUUGAACCUUUAGAACUCUUUUUUUGCCCUGACUCUCUCUGCUCUACUUCAGCUGUCAUUAAGUACAUGAAACUGAGGCUGUUAAGACUGCAUGGUAUCUCUCAGAAAACUCUCACCUCUGGACAAAGUGAAAAUGGACUAUUUCUAGUUGAGCUGACACUUUGAUUUUGACCUUUAGAUUUCAUUUUGCAUUUCUUCUAUUGAAGUACGGUGCUUACAGCUUCUUUGUGUUGCUAACAUCUUUAUAUGCUAAGCUGUACAUACCAGGUUUCUCACAUGGAAAUUGAGGAGAUGCCAUACAUAUAAGAUAUCAUGUUUAACUCUCUGGAAAAAAAACAAACUCCAGAAAAAUAACACCUUUAGUGGACUGAGUGAAGUCUCUGGAGUUAAGUGAACAGAGAUGAAUAUGGGAAAUCUGAAAGACAGAAAAGGGGAGAAGAACAAGAGAUGUCACCAAACCUAUAUUUAAAGAGCCACCUCAGAUGGUCUUUGAGAUAAUAAUGGUACUGCAGGUGCAAAGACUAAAUAAAACCAGGUAAAAGCUCUGCAUUUGUAUUAAACAGUUCAUAAAACUCACACAAUGAAAUGUAGAGGGUGCAGGUCUAGUGUUAUUGCAAACAAGCAAAAAAUAGAGAAAAUAAUGGAAAAAAAAAAUAGAAACAUGGAGCUAUAUUGUAACAUCAUGCCUUCAUAAUGAUACGGAAAGACAGCUUCCAGUAAUGAGUUCUCAGACAGACUGGAUGCCACAGAGUAUCUUCCAACAGCACACUGUCCAGAAAGACUUCUAUAGCAGCAAUGGAACUUUCCUUUCUAACAACUACAAUGACUUCAUGAGACAGAAGAUAUCUGUGGAGAUUCAGGAACUCACCAAACAGUAUAUUUGGCCUGGACAGUCUGAAUUAGGAGUGAAAUAGGAUCCUAAUUCAGACUGGAAGGAAUUGCUUUACUGUGAAAAGAUGUUCCUUAUAGUCUGUCUCUCUUGUUUCAACCUCUUGCCAUGUCUUUUGGCAUUGGCUCUGCCUUAUUUAACUUCAUCAUCUCUAAGCAAGCUCUUUUUGCACCUCUAUCUCUCAGGAAAAAAAUAGCUCUCCUCAAAGGACCUAUCACAAAGACGUGUUAUUGCACUGGCUGACACGAUUUUUGACACUGCUUAUUCUUCCCUUACCUAGGAAGGGAACUGAGACUAAACAGCCCCAUUUUCUCAGCUAAAGAUAGAUUACAGAAUGUUCAACCUUUUUAUUUCCUUUGAACUCAUUUUCUCAACUGAUUAGUAAAAAAUAAAUGAAGGGAAAAUCAGUUCUAGGAAGUGGGUCACUAUUUACAUUGCUUGCCCAUAAGUACAUAUUUGUGAAGACUGACAAGAAAAUGAUACCACUCAGCAAGUUUUUUGUUUAGUUACUUUUACUCUGUACCAUCUUCACUGGUUUGACUUUCAUACAGAUCAGUAAAUUUCCUAAUAGUACCUAUUAACAGCACACAAAAAAAAUCUCUUUACCUCUUUUCCUCAUUUUUGUUUCAACAAAGAGAAUGAUGCUGAAGUGUGUAAGUGCAUUACGAUUUGUCAAAGCACCUCCCAAUGUCAGUUAGAGAAGCAAAAGGAUUCCUCUCAUUUGCACUGUAAACACUGAGUAUAUUGGAAUUGACACUGAUUAAUUAGAUUCAAUAGGCUGAACAGAAGCAAAUAGUAUUUAAAAGAACAGGGUGAUCAGUAAAACCAAACAGUUUGUAAACAACUCACUUUGAGCUUGAAAAUUCAAAUUCAUCCAAAUUUAGCAAAAAUGAACCACUAAGACACUGCUCAUCAAACAGGAGUAUCUCUCAGACAGUAAGAAAAAUGAAGCUGAAAUAGCAUGGAUAUUAUUAUUUUUUUGUGCUUUAACAAUUGCAUCAAUGAGGUAAAUUUCUUACAUUUUAUACAGCUUGAGAACUGCAUUAGAAAAUAUCAACAAAAUUUAAACCUCCAAACCAAAAUCAUCUUUUCUACUCGUUUCAGAAUCUCUACCUAAUGGAUUAUCAGAUACUGUCAGAAUGUUACAAUCAAUGACAAUUGUUAAUCAGGCUGUUCUCCACUUUCAAGCAUUUUCUGUAUUUUUACAGAUCUUGAUCAUAGGCAAAACUUUCAAAAAGACUAUUGAUUUAUAAAUCAUAGUUUAUUUAAAAAGGGGUCUGAAUUAAUUGCCCAUUUACCUCUAACAUUAAAAUUACAGAUUGAUAUAGAUGAUUUUUUUUUAUAUUACUGUCUUGACCAUACUUUUGCUGGGUACAUUGAUUUGGAACAAAUAUGUCUUCCUAGAAAGCAGCCUCUGUUCGCUGCAUACAGUAUCUUAUCUUUGCUGGAGAGCUGUCUUUGAACUGAUGUACUCAUACAAAGUAAGAUCUAAUGUCAGACGAUGCUUGCAACUUAAUUACGUUUGAGCUUAGAAUACUUUUUUUGUGGUUCAGUGACAAAACUGUAAAUGCACACUUUGAACAAAAUCCUUAAGUAGUUAAACCACAUUAUAAAGUAGCACCAUUUGGCUGAAGAAUCAAAACCAUACAAAUAAAUAAUGAUGUACGUAUGUCUGAGCAGGCUGUGCAUGUGAAGGAAAGAUGAAUCACUUUGCUUUUUUUAAUGUUGGCCUUGUGAUAGCUGAGCAAUGCAAUUAUCUUCUUUUGCAUUGUGCUAGCUUUAUCUCAUUGGUAUUAGAUUUUUAUUUCUUCCAUAUCCUUAUUUCUACAGUGAGUGAAGUGCAACACUCCAAGAAGUAAGGCACUGCUACGAUAGAUAUCAUUCAGGCUUCACACAAAGAUUCACUAUUAGAAAGAUUAAAAAAAAAAACAGCCAAAGGCAGAAGGGGGGAGCCUCAUUAUUAUGCGGUAUUAUGAUUAAUAACUGUUCCUACCAAACAGUUUUAGAUUGGGUUAAUUUACCUUAAUUUAAAAUAAAGGACGGAGAACAAACAAGAAAAUCAUUUCAAGCAGCCCAAAGGGUAUACUGAAUACAUAGGAUGUGCUAAGAAAUGUAUGUAAAACUAGAAAUAUGCCAGGGGAUUUUGUUCCUUAUUCCAAGUAAAAUAAAAUACCAGAAUUGACUAUUGACAUUUUUUCUUUUCACCUACAUCAUGACAAGAAUUAACAGGACAUCAGUAAGCUAUCUUUCAGUGAAAAGGUUUUGAUGAGAUCUCUGUAAAGCAGCUUAAAUGGGGUAACUCCUAAGGAGUCAUUCUAGAAUGUGUUUCUCUUGAAGAUCAAGCCCUUAAAAAGGCUUGCUCAUCAUUAAGAGAUUCACAGGAAUCAAAUCAAAACAAAACAAAACAAAGUGCUCCUUAUACAAGAGCAGGCAAAAAGCAAGGCAGUCAUAUUCUCCACUAGUUUGGAAGUUGGGAUUCAAAUGAUUAAUACGACUAUCUACCAGAUAUUGUCCAGGACUCUGUAAAGCAAAUAUUUAAAGCUAGUGCAAAAAAUCUCAGCUGUUAUGAUAGCUGUCUAGGCUGUCUGACUGUCUAGGCUGACUCAGCAGACAGACGAGCAGCAACUUGACAAUAGUGCAUGUGUAUAUGCCUAAAAGAGUAAAAUAGUCUGGCUUCCAGACCAUCUCCAUUGCCUAGCCAAAAUGACGUAGGCCUUGCUUGGGUUGCCCUUUAGCCUCCCAAUGCAGCAGACUUGACCGGACUUUCACGAACUACUCAGCUGGAACACAGGUGCCACAUACACAACGUCUACGCAUGAUGACUCAGUGCAUGCUGAGGGCCCUUCAGCAGUCAAAAACAGCAGACCAAAUCCAGGUUUCGUUACUUAUUUUGUAGCUCAGAGGCACUUCCAUCAAUUCCUAAGAGCUGUAACAACAUCUAAAAGUAACUCUGGGCCACUGACUAAAUUAUUCUGUGCAGCAGCAGAUAUUCUGCAGAUAAUACUGCAGAAUGAGUCAUACAAAGACAUUUAUGAACAUGAAAAUUUAGAUAUUUUUUAAGAACAUGACAUCAUUUUGAUCUGAACAUUAAAUUCUGAACUCUUCUGGAGAAAAGCAGAUUACUUUUUACAUAAAAGAACUCUAGGAAUACACAAUUCCCUGAGGCAGCCAAUUUUGCACAAACAGCAACUUUCUCACAUGACUGUGAAAGGUAAGCAAUCAAGUGGCAACGUUAUAUGAGUAGAAGGAUGAACAGACAUCCACACAAAAUCUAUUAAACCUAAAACCACUAGGAUCCACGUUCAAGGCACUCAGAAGUCAAAAUCAGAAGCAUUUCUAAUGACAGGCACAUGUAAUAGGAUCUGUGUGGUGAAGCAAUGCAUAGUUGCGGCCAGAUUUAGAGCCAGAUCAUCACUUUAGAAAUAUCAAUAUCUGGAUAAGGUCCAAGUUCCUUCCUCAUCAAAGCAGUUUGACUCCUGAAAUAAUAACCUCAGCUUGUGGAGACAAAGUCCUGAUCAAUAAUGAAUCUUAAGAUGUCUCUGCGAUCUUCUGCCUUCUCAGAUGUGAAUUAGUACUGACACCCUUCUGGCACUCUGCCUGCAACAGCUGCUCGCAGAAUGUUGAGUGGCAAACGUGGGCUGGUAAAAAUUGAAUACAAAUAUGAUAUUUGGAGUAUGAUUUAUCAGAAAAACAGUAAAACGUGGCUAUUAGAAAACCUUAGAGAAACACCUGAUUGCACUUGUUAAUUUUCUGCGAUGACAUGCAGCUUGACACAAAUAUGGUGAGAUCCCUAUAAAAACAAGAAGACUUCAGUCCUUCAAACCAACUUCCCCAAGUUGUGGAGCCAAAGGACAAUCAUCAGUCUUUUUAAGUUUUGCAUGGAUUUCCAUGUAGCCUGCUCACCAAACCUCUAACUGAAUGCAUUAUAUUUUGCUUGUUUGUUUAUUUAACAGAACACCAUAGCCAUGGGCCACAUAUCAAAGCUAGGUGACUUGUAGCUAGAGAAGCACAGUUCUAAAUUGUGCACGUUGCAUUCUGUCAGCUCAAAUUCCUACUGUUUUGUCUCUCACGUUAACCGAGCAUUCAUCAAGAAAGUCCCUGGAAGACUUUUGGAAAACAAGAAUUGUUUUACUAGAUUAGGCACCUGACCCAUUUAAUCCUGUGAAGACUUAAGAAACCAGGCAUUUGUAAGCACCAGGUUAGGUUUCAUUCUGAUUUUCAGUUUAACUCAGAGAUUGACUUAAGUCCUAAACUUCAGGUUUUGUUCCUCAUUCUGUAUUUUAUUGUCAUAUAUUUGGACAAGAAUUAGAGCUUUAUUAUCACUGCAUCCUUAAAAUGUAUUUCACAUGAGAAAGAAGGAUCACUUUAAAUGAAUCACUGCCUGGGUUUCCUCUAUGAUGAAGCUCUAUACUAUAUCCACAAGCACGCUGACACAAAUAUAGAAUUCUCCAUGCUUUAGGAAAUCUGUUUCACAGGUAGUCUAUUAGAAAUGAGUCUCCAAACAAACAUCUUGUACAUUUAAUGUAACUUCUAUUGGUUUUGUGUUUAAAUAAAUGUUAAAUUAAAAAUAUUCAUACCCACUACUUGUAUAGAAAUGCAAGUAUUGCAAGUUAGCACUAGAACAGACACCCCUGCAGGACAGAGUGAAAACUCCUCAAAGAUCACAAAUGCUCACUUGAACACCCGCUGAUGUUGGUGGCAUAACCGUAUGUGAAACUUCUGACUGAAUCAGGCCCUCACACUGCUUCAAGCCAUUUUUCACCUGGACUUCCAGAGACAUCACUGCCAUUCUACUCACAAGUCCUGCACUGUAUGUUUGCAUGGAUAGUGUUUCAUACAUACAUGUAUGAUAGACUCAGACUCCAGAGGCUGGAAAAAUGCAUUUUACUUGUAGCAUUCCAAAUCUUCCUUCCCUGGAGCACACAUACAUCUAUCAAAUUCUAGAAACCUCAACUCUACAGCACUGCAGCAGAAAUUAUCUAGUAUUUUCACAAUAAGGACUUCAGGCUUCUGAAUACAUGUUUAGAUGCUUUAAGAAAUGACCUGAUUUUUAAAAGCAGUGAGACUCAGGUGACUUCGAUGGAUUUAGAGUGAGGCUCCUAAUAAAGCUGGGAAAAAAAAACAGCCUGACCUGUUCCCUUUGUGGUUGGUGUAAGUGUUACUGUUGAGCUCAGUGGAGCUCAGUUGCUAAUUUUUAGACUUGUUUUUGACAAACAGGUAAUCACAGGAACUAAAUGAAAGAAUACUCAAGGAAGAGGGCAAGGUUUUGAGAACACCACAAAUAAAAUGUACUCUCCAUUUCUGAGUGUUUACUUGCUUGAUAGAAUAACAGGUGCACAGGAAAUAGGAUAUAAGAAAGACACUUUCUUGUAACAAAAUAGUUUUAAUUGUGCCAUAUUUCCUAUGUGCCUUCUCUCAUGCCUGAGCCUUGAGAGGGAAAAUGCUACUUCUGUCAUUAAAAAAAUGAAAAUGGAAGGUGUAUAUUAAUACAACACUGGCAAGAUUAUGGCAGAGCAAACAGAGAAAGCAAAUAACCUACUUUUAAAGUAUGAAACAUGGAAGAUUAUUAAACAGUAAAACUGUUUCAUUUAGUAAAAACAUAUUUUAUUAAUCUUUUAAUUACAUAAAUUCUACACCUAGUUUUUCUGUAUGGCAUCACAUCUUUGACACCACCAAAUGUGAAAGAUUUUAUCAUUUAAAGCAACAAACUGGAGGAACUACAGUAAACCAAAUUCUCUCUGUUUGUAUUUAAUUUUCAGUUCAUUUGUUGGUUAUUGGUAGGAUCUUCUCAAAUGUAUUAUAUUUUAUUUUUUUGGUAUUUUCUGUUUUCCUCUUAUGAUUCAGUCUCUUCUUGUUGCAGCUGAUGCACUUUUCAGAGUUUUAUUUAUAAUUACCAAAUUCAGAAUGAAAACGAAAGCCAUUUAAUUAUGUAAUUGUCUUAGAGACAGCAUGGCAAUUAAAGCCCCCAGAAAAGCAGCCUAGAGGCGUUGGUUGUGCAAAAAGGUAGAGAAAACUUAAUAUGGGCAUCUCAAAAAAUGACUAAAUAAAAUACUGUAGGCUAUUACACAUGCAUCUCUGAACAGAUGCCCUUAAGAACUGUAUACCUUAAUCAACAUAAAAUAGCAUAUUUACAUACCAAGCAUGUGCAGCAAGACAGGCCACUAUAAAUCAGCUAUUCAGAUGUUAUCAAGGAGACUGAAGCUGUAUACAACAUUACAAGAAAUAGGGUUGAAGAUGAAAAUAAGAUGCACAAAGAUUAAGAAAGCAAUUAGAAAUACAUGUGGGAACAGACUGCAAGAAAAACAGUUAAAGAGUUUACUAAAUAAUGAAUAAAAGAUGGAGAUGUCCCUGUUGAAGGACAAAUUUAAAAAGCUAUUUUGUGUUGUGAUAAAUCUGCAAAAGUGGUGAUAAGAAGAGUAGAGAUGUCAUAUUAAAAGUAAGCAUGAAGUUCUUUAGACUUUAGACAGAUAUCCAAGCCUUAGUACUUUCCUAAACUUUGGAAAUAUCUGCAGCUGCACACAGCCAAACCAAAACCAGCUGGACUUUCUUAUACAGCAGAAGGGCAAAUCUGAAGUAGUUUCACAUUUAUGACUUGCAUGAGAAAUCUUCCAGCUAAGUCUGGAGAAACACGGCCAUCUAUCUUACUAAAAAGCCUUAACCUCUUCACUCUGCUCUGUGAGGUGAUGACACUGGAGAGGUUUUGGUUACCAUCAGGUGGAACUAGUUAAAAACCACAGCAUUUCUGGUGCUGCACAGAGGCAGGAAGGGUGACUGCGUGCAGAAUGGAAAAGUCCCAUCAGCUGCAAGGGUGAUACAAACCAUCAGAAGCGCUCUAAACCCACACAGAGAAUGCUCCCUCUCUAUAUAACUUGCAUCACCUCAGAAAUACCAGAGUUAUUAAGCUAUUUCUCCUGAAUGCCAUCAUCGCACAGAAAGCACCACUACAUUUCAAGUUAAUAGAAGACGUAAACAAUGAUUAUUCUUUUCCUUCACACAAAGAAAUCAGCUUCCUUCUGUUCCAAGCAGUUAACGUUCACCUCAUGUGUGUUUUGGCACUUGGCAGUAGGUAAUUAUUGGCUGCUAUGAUGUUCUUCCCUUCUAUAAUUAAGAUAUCCUUUGAAUUGUGGACAGUUAACUUUUCUCCUGCUAAAAACUGUAAGCAAUUAGUACAUAAACUACAAGUUGACACCAACAGCUCACACAGACAAGACAAAUAAUGUCUUCCUCCUGCACUGCAGGUACUGUAACUGUACUUAAAGUCAUUUGAGACAAUGAUUUUUACAAGUUUUAAAGCCUUGAAGUGGUCAGAACGUGAAGCUGGUUCCUUCCUUCUACCGCUGCAAGUCAAGGCACUGCCCCAGUGAAUAUCAGAAGAUGCAGAUUUCUUCAAAUGAAAGUCUUUUUUCACUUCCCUUCUUCUGCACAGUUCUUCCCUUUAUUAAAUGUGGACUUGCACCCUUGAGAUGCUCAGUCUGUGUGGCACCCGAGAGAAAAAAAGAGGUUCUGGAAAAGAGAUAUGAGAAAGGGAAACUUCUCCUCGAGACUGGGAGAUCUUUUAGCAGGCCUAGGGCUGUCACAUGGUGCUCAAAUAC